UCCUACGGGGGGCGGCAGUAGGGAAUCUUCCACAAUGGGCGAAAGCCUGAUGGAGCAACGCCGCGUGGGUGAAGAAGGUCUUCGGAUCGUAAAACCCUGUUGUUAGAGAAGAAAGUGCGUGAGAGUAACCGUUCACGUUUCGACGGUAUCUAACCAGAAAGCCACGGCUAACUACGUGCCAGCAGCCGCGGUAAUACGUAGGUGGCAAGCGUUAUCCGGAUUUAUUGGGCGUAAAGGGAACGCAGGCGGUCUUUUAAGUCUGAUGUGAAAGCCUUUGGCUUAACCGGAGUAGUGCAUUGGAAACU
rnacentral:rRNA from 1 species